UUUGCUGACGAGCGGCGGACGGGUGAGUAAUGCCUGGGAAUAUACCCUGAUGUGGGGGAUAACUAUUGGAAACGAUAGCUAAUACCGCAUAAUCUCUUCGGAGCAAAGAGGGGGACCUUCGGGCCUCUCGCGUCAGGAUUAGCCCAGGUGGGAUUAGCUAGUUGGUGGGGUAAUGGCUCACCAAGGCGACGAUCCCUAGCUGGUCUGAGAGGAUGAUCAGCCACACUGGAACUGAGACACGGUCCAGACUCCUACGGGAGGCAGCAGUGGGGAAUAUUGCACAAUGGGGGAAACCCUGAUGCAGCCAUGCCGCGUGUAUGAAGAAGGCCUUCGGGUUGUAAAGUACUUUCAGUUGUGAGGAAGGCGUUGGAGUUAAUAGCUUCAGCGCUUGACGUUAGCAACAGAAGAAGCACCGGCUAACUCCGUGCCAGCAGCCGCGGUAAUACGGAGGGUGCGAGCGUUAAUCGGAAUUACUGGGCGUAAAGCGCAUGCAGGCGGUCUGUUAAGCAAGAUGUGAAAGCCCGGGGCUCAACCUCGGAACAGCAUUUUGAACUGGCAGACUAGAGUCUUGUAGAGGGGGGUAGAAUUUCAGGUGUAGCGGUGAAAUGCGUAGAGAUCUGAAGGAAUACCGGUGGCGAAGGCGGCCCCCUGGACAAAGAC
rnacentral:rRNA from 1 species